UACGAAGGGGGCUAGCGUUGCUCGGAAUCACUGGGCGUAAAGGGUGCGUAGGCGGGUCUUUUAAGUCAGGGGUGAAAUCCUGGAGCUCAACUCCAGAACUGCCUUUGAUACUGAGGAUCUUGAGUUCGGGAGAGGUGAGUGGAACUGCGAGUGUAGGGGUGAAAUUCGUAGAUAUUCGGAGGAACACCAGAAGCGAAGGCGGCCAACUGGCCCGAUACUGACGCUGAGGCGCGAAAAGCGUGGGGGAGCAAACAGGG
rnacentral:rRNA from 1 species